AGUGUUCGGGGCCGUUUUGGCGGCUAUGCAGGAUUGGCAGGAGCUGCGAUGCUCACACUUGCCUCGCCGACCGCCAUUUCACAUCCAGCAGAGGAGGCGGGGGCAGCCGCUGAGACGGUUUUUCACAAGGUGACCAUGCUUUGGGAUUUUCAUAGUUUGAGUAAUUCCUAUGGGCUCUACCACCCAGCGAGUUAAAGAAGACAAGAUUCCACCCCCAGGGGGUUGUGGUUCUGGGAAUGUGAGCAGCUUGUUUUCAGGAGAUCUGCAUCUUGAUCUGGCCUGCUAUUAGGAUCUGUGGUGGUGGUGCCUGUCUGGUUUUAGUUGUUUCUUUUAUCUUACACAGAU
rnacentral:lncRNA from 1 species